GCUGGGCAUGGUGGUGCAUGCCUGUAAUCCCAGCUACUCAGGAAGCUGAGGCAGGAGAAUUGCUUGAACCCAGGAGGCUGAGCUUGCAGUGAGCCGAGAUAGUGCCAUUGCACUCCAGCCUGGGUGACAGAACGAGAUUCCGUCUCAA
rnacentral:SRP_RNA from 1 species